CAGGAAUGUAGGAGAGGAGACCUGGGUACAGAGGUCAGGGGUUAGACAGGAAUGGAGGAGAGGGGAGAUGGGUACAGAGGUCAGGGUUGGGAUCCUAGAGGCCUUUUGGGGAGGAGUCAGACAGACAGACAGACAGACAGACUCCUCUCUCCCCUCAGGUUGAGUUGGGUUGGGAUCCUAGAGGCCUUUUGGAGAGGAGUCAGACAGACAGACAGACAGACAGACAGACAGACAGACAGACAGACUCCUCUCUCCCCUCAGGUUGAGUUGGGUUGGGAUCCUAGAGGCCUUUUGGAGAGGAGUCAGACAGACAGACAGACAGACAGACAGACAGACAGACAGACAGACAGACAGACUCCUCUCUCCCCUCAGGUUGAGUUGGGUUGGGAUCCUAGAGGCCUUUUGGAGAGGAGUCAGACAGACAGACAGACAGACUCCUCUCUCCCCUCAGGUUGAGUUGGGUUGGGAUCCUAGAGGCCUUUUGGAGAGGAGUCAGACAGACAGACAGACUCCUCUCUCCCCUCAGGUUGAGUUGGGUUGGGAUCCUAGAGGCCUUUUGGGGAGGAGUCAGACAGACAGACAGACAGACUCCUCUCUCCCCUCAGGUUGAGUUGGGUUGGGAUCCUAGAGGCCUUUUGGAGAGGAGUCAGACAGACAGACAGACUCCUCUCUCCCCUCAGGUUGAGUUGGGUUGGGAUCCUAGAGGCCUUUUGGGGAGGAGUCAGACAGACAGACAGACAGACUCCUCUCUCCCCUCAGGUUGAGUUGGGUUGGGAUCCUAGAGGCCUUUUGGGGAGGAGUCAGACAGACAGACAGACAGACUCCUCUCUCCCCUCAGGUUGAGUUGGGUUGGGAUCCUAGAGGCCUUUUGGAGAGGAGUCAGACAGACAGACAGACAGACUCCUCUCUCCCCUCAGGUUGAGUUGGGUUGGGAUCCUAGAGGCCUUUUGGAGAGGAGUCAGACAGACAGACAGACAGACAGACAGACAGACAGACAGACAGACUCCUCUCUCCCCUCAGGUUGAGUUGGGUUGGGAU